AGUGUCAGCAGAGAGGGCCAGCACAGAGGGUGAUGCCGGCGGUCCUGGGGUCCUGCUUGUUGUCAGUUGAAGGUUUCUGAGUAAAUUGACAGAGCCAGACUAAAGUGAGAUUGGCAAAUGGACUUAGGAUGAAGAAGAACAGCAGCAGCAGCAGCAGCAGCAGCAGCAGCAGCAGAUGUUAUCCUAAUGGAAAACUGGAGGUUCCUCAGGCCUGGGCCGUCCCUCCUGUGCUGGCAUGUGUGCCUCUCCGCUCAUGGUCUGCCUUGCUGACACCGCUUUGGCACCUGGAGUCAUCUAGCUCUGCCAAUCAGACUCAGCCCUAAGGAAACUGAUUUGGAAUAUUAAUUCUGUGAGGAAAGAGCCAGGACACUCAACUGUCCCCUUGGCAUCCCUGCAGGACUGUGGAGCACGGUGUGAACGAGCCAUGCUGCAAGCUCCCUUAGCUAUGGAUCGAGCCACUCCAACUGCCAUGACCUCACCACACAAUUGUGUCCCCGGCACUUCGGUAAUGUACGUGGUUAUCACUUGGUUAUACUGCCUUGUGACAGAGGCAUCGUUCAUCAUUUAAAAGCCCACAUCAGAAGAAGGUACUAAAAAAGCGAAAAGUUCUUUCUGCAGUUACCUGCAGCUGAAACGUGGAGAGUGAACUAAGGAAGUAUGGCAGUGUGCUAAAAAAUAUCCAUAAAAAUCACAUAUAGGUAGUGGUUACCAGUGGCUGAAAUUGCACGAGAGAAAGAUCUCACUUUUAAGUGCCUUCUGAUGGAGCUACACGAUAUCAUGCGUAAAAAUGUAAAUUUCUUCUGCUGAUGAUAUUGCUAAGCAGAGAGAGAUACUCCAUGACGUCAUCGAAAAGCAAAAAUCGAAACACGAGAUGUACGCUGAUGUUCCAAUUGAUAGCAAGUACUAACUGGGCAUUUAAUAAGAUAAAUUGAUUAUUAGUCUCUGGGUAUGAUGGUCAUGUUACACUUCUAUAUCCAGUGAGGCUACUUCCCUUUCAGAGGUAUGUAUUAAAGUACUUACAGUUA
rnacentral:lncRNA from 1 species